rnacentral:piRNA from 1 species
UGGAUAAUGUAGGUGCUAACAGUUGUCACUGU